rnacentral:rRNA from 1 species
UACGAAGGGUGCUAGCGUUGUUCGGAAUCACUGGGCGUAAAGCGCGCGUAGGCGGCGAUACAAGUCAGAGGUGAAAUCCCCAGGCUCAACCUGGGAAUUGCCUUUGAAACUGUAUUGCUUGAGUGUCGGAGGGGAUAGCGGAAUUGCUAAUGUAGAGGUGAAAUUCGUAGAUAUUAGCAGGAACACCGGUGGCGAAGGCGGCUAUCUGGACGACAACUGACGCUGAGGCGCGAAAGCGCGGGGAUCAAACAGG